rnacentral:rRNA from 1 species
UACAGAGGCCUCAAGCGUUGUUCGGAUUCAUUGGGCGUAAAGGGUGCGUAGGUGGCAUGGUAAGUUGAAGGUGAAAUCUCGGGGCUCAACUCCGAAACUGCCUUCAAUACUGCUGUGCUAGAGAGCUGUAGAGGAGAAUGGAAUUCACGGUGUAGCAGUGAAAUGCGUAGAUAUCGUGAGGAAGACCAGUGGCGAAGGCGAUUCUCUGGGCAGUUUCUGACACUGAGGCACGAAGGCUAGGGGAGCAAACGGG